GACGAACGCUGGCGGCGUGCUUAACACAUGCAAGUCGAGCGAAGCGGGGAAGGGGGAGAAACACGAGGAUAACCACCUAUAAGACUGGGAUAACUUCGGGAAAACGGAGCUAAAGCGGAAACGUAUAGAUGGAUCCGCGCUGCAUUAGCUAGUUGGUAAGGUAACGGCUUACCAAGGCAACGAUGCAUAGCCGACUUGAGAGGGUGAUCGGCCACACGUGAACUGAGCCACGGUCCAGACUCCUACGGGAGGCAGCGGUAGGGAAUCUUCCGCAAUGGGCGAAAGCCUGACGGAGCAACGCCGCGUGUGUUAUGAAGGUUUUCGGAUCGUAAACCUCUGUUGUUAGAUAAGCGGUAUCUAACCAGAAAGCCACGGCUAACUACGUGCCAGCCGCCGCGGUAAUAC
rnacentral:rRNA from 1 species